CCUGCCUGGAAACAUUAGAAGGGACCGAGGCGGCGAGAUGUCUAAAAUAGGAAGACGCUGGGGACGGCUGGCCUGGCUGCCCGCGAUGCUGGCUGCGGGGAUCUGGUCCGGCCGUGCAGAUGGAAAAGCCAGGAGUGGGCUUUCGGACUGCUGGGGCUCAGCAGGACCCGGAGAGAAUUCUCCAGCUACAGGCCAGCUUGAAGAUACAGCCAGCUCUGUCAAGUCCUAGGCUUGGCCAAGCAGGAGAUCAUCUGGAUCUAAGGAAGACUCGACGAUCAGAGAUCUGAGAGCCAGAAGAGGAAUUAUCACCUCUUAUCCUGCCAAGUUAAACAUGGAUUGCACUUUGUCAAAUAGGCUUCCGAGCUUUUUUCUACUGAAAAUGCUGCGUCAUCCCGGGUGUGAGACGGGGCAAGAGAGAGAGAAAGUGGCAGGGACUGCAUGGGACGGAGAACAAGCAGCGUGAUGCAGGAGACAAAGGCGAGCAAGAGAAUCAAGAGAACUAAAAGAAGACAUAAACACACCACCAUUCUUCCACUGUCUGAAGAUGCACAUAAAAAAGUAAUAAAACCUCAUCUAUCCUCAA